rnacentral:rRNA from 1 species
ACUCGAUUAAACCUAAAGGCGCAAUGAAAGUAAAGGUCCGCCUAGCGCGGACCGAGGGAGGACGGGCUCGUCUACGGCCGCGCCCCGCACUCCCGGGGCGUCUCGUCCUCAUCGCGAGGAGAGGCGCACCCAGAGCGUACACGCUGGGACCCGAAAGAUGGUGAACUAUGCCUGGUCAGGACGAAGUCAGGGGAAACCCUGAUGGAGGUCCGUAGCGAUUCUGACGUGCAAAUCGAUCGUCGGAACUGGGUAUAGGGGCGAAAGACUAAUCGAACCUUCUAGUAGCUGGUUCCUUCCGA